AUGUCUAGCAGGAGGUCACGGUCUAGGCAAACAACUAGUUCAAGGAAUAUCACCGACGAUCAGAUCCAUGAUCUUGUCUCCAAGUUGCAGCAGCUUCUUCCUGAGAUUCGCAAUAGGACCUCGGACAAGGCUUCAGCUUCGAGGGUGUUACAGGAGACAUGCAACUAUAUUAGAAAUUUGCACAGAGAAGUGGACGACCUUAGCGAACGUUUAUCUGAGCUACUGGCUACAACAGACACAGCACAAGCAGCCAUCAUUAGAAAUUUACUUAUGCAAUAG